UCCACCUCCUCGGGGUCCACAAAUCCCAGCUCCUUAUCGAGGCGUUCCAGGAUCUCCACCUCCAUGUUGUCGUCAGCCAUGGUGUCGGAUGGAGGACAAGUCGUGGCCUCAACGGUCGGUUCCUGCUAGAAAAAGACAGGGGCCGGACAACUUGUGAUGUACUGACGGACGGACGGUACGGAUUCACAACCCGGCAUGGGGCCACGGACUACACACUUGGAGUAGGACGGAGUACGGGGAAAAUGGUACCUGUCGAGGGAAGGAAAGGUAAAACGGUUAUUUAACUAGUUUACCAAGUGGAGGUGCUGCGAAUCGGUGGAGCAUCUCGGGCAUGCUCGAAGAGCAAGCUCUUCGCUCGUCAGCAUCCGACGUGGCCACGGGGUAUCUUCCCUACCCUCGAUGCAGUCACAAACCUCCAGUGUGUCCCACAGGCCACAACGGUAACAGCUUCGAGUCGACGGUCCCCUAGUCAGCCAGAUCGAUCCGGGGAGGCCACAACGCCAGCACGUCCCGGAUACGGUUGUCUGCAAAUCGGACAUCUGAAACUGAUUUUAAGUUCAGUACGGUCAACACCCACCGACGGCCGGAGGGCUCUGGCGGACGAAACGGGGAACCCCUCGAAUGAGACCGGAACCAAAUGGUCAUAAACAACGGGUGAAAUCACUUUCACAACGGUAUACGGACCAGAGAACUUCGGAGC